UUCUGUAUGAUUCUCAGUGCUUUCCAUUUGCGUGUCCACAGGUUGCUGUAAGUGGUGCUUGACUGCAGUUUGCUCUCAUUUCAAGUGGUUUGCUGUCACAAAGCCAACAGGAAGUCCGGCCAUGGUUGAGCCAACUGAAGAUGGGUUGAAGGUGGCGUCCUCGUUUCCUCUCGAUACAUGUUGGAAAAUGGAGACUUUAGCCACCAAGACUGACGUGCCUGGAAACUUCCCUUCACGGGGUUUGUGACUGAAAUGCGUGUGGUCGACGGGAAGCCUGACGAGUACGGCCUGAAUCAUUCCAUCAACACCGGACGGAGUGAAACCUUUGUUGAAAACAGAUUAUAUGGUAACGUUGCAUUUAGCUUCAGUAAACUGUGAAGUUACAGCAGCAGAUUUACAUCACGUGGCUUCACAGGAAGUAGUCUGGACCUCAGCGCUGAGGUUCAAGCAGCUCUGCUUGCAGACGGCAUCCUUCCUGAAAAUGUUCUUCAUCUUCCUCAAACCAGAACUUUUACAUUGGUGCUGAAGUUCUAUAUAAAAACAGCCUGAAAUACAAAGUGAUGUUGUGCACUGAUUACCUCACACUUUCCAUGUUUCCUUCUACAGAGGAGUGUCCGCCUGAGUGUUUUGUCUGAUCUGUUGUUGAUCGUCUCAUUGACACUGCAUGCAGAUCUGACACCAGGGCUGGACUGGGACAAAAAAUGGUCCCGGGCAUUUUGACUGGA